rnacentral:rRNA from 1 species
AUUGAACGCUGGCGGCAGGCUUAACACAUGCAAGUCGAGCGGGGAAAAGUAGCUUGCUACUGGACCUAGCGGCGGACGGGUGAGUAAUGCUUAGGAAUCUGCCUAUUAGUGGGGGACAACAUCUCGAAAGGGAUGCUAAUACCGCAUAGGUCCAACGGGAGAAAGCAGGGGACCUUCGGGCCUCGCGCUAAUAGAUGAGCCUAAGGCGGAUUAGCUAGUUGGUGGGGGAAAGGCCUACCAAGGCGACGAUCUGUAGCGGGUCUGGGAGGAUGAUCCGCCACACUGGGACUGAGACACGGCCCAGACUCCUACGGGAGGCAGCAGUGGGGAAUAUUGGACAAUGGGGGGAACCCUGAUCCAGCCAUGCCGCGUGUGUGAAGAAGGCCUUUUGGUUGUAAAGCACUUUAAGCGAGGAGGAGGCUACCGAGAUUAAUACUCUUGGAUAGUGGACGUUACUCGCAGAAUAAGCACCGGCUAACUCUGUGCCAGCCGCCGCGGUAACAC